GAUGAACGCUGGCGGCGUGCCUAAUACAUGCAAGUCGAGCGAACAGACGAGGAGCUUGCUCCUCUGACGUUAGCGGCGGACGGGUGAGUAACACGUGGAUAACCUACCUAUAAGACUGGGAUAACUUCGGGAAACCGGAGCUAAUACCGGAUAAUAUAUUGAACCGCAUGGUUCAAUAGUGAAAGACGGUUUUGCUGUCUCUUAUAGAUGGAUCCGCGCCGCAUUAGCUAGUUGGUAAGGUAACGGCUUACCAAGGCAACGAUGCGUAACCGACCUGAGAGAGUGAUCGGCCACACUGGAACUUGGACACGGUCCAGACUCCUGCGAGAGGCACCAGUAGGCAAUCUUCCGCAAUGGGCGAAAGCUUGACGGAGCAACGCCGCGUGAGUGAUGAAGGUCUUCGGAUCGUAAAGCUCUGUUAUUAGGGAAGAACAGAUGUGUAAGUAACUAUGCACGUCUUGACGGUACCUAAUCAGAAAGCCACGGCUAACUACGUG
rnacentral:rRNA from 1 species